GGGGCGCAGCCGGGCAGGCCUGGGCUUUGGGUUGCUGCCUCAGUUUACCUUUUAUAUGAGUAAAAUGAAGGCCUCGUUUUAGGAGUAACCUGCUCUGGUGCCUCCACAGACCAACCUUGAGUGUACUGCCUGCACAGAGUUCUGCGGCCUCAGUUUCCCCACUUAUUAAAAGCAGGAGGAAGAGGCUACCUCCGGACCGGUUUGAGAAUUCCAUGUAUCAAAAGAUAUGGCAGUCAGAGCAACGUGGGCACUCCCAAAAGACCACUCCAGCCUGAGAAGGGCCUUCUCUCCUUGAGACCUUGGAGCCUUCUCAGCAGCGACACAGACAAGUAUAACAGGCCUGGGGGCACCCAGAAGCCUCCACAUGGGGGCAAGAUUUAAGAAGGGGCCAGAUACGGGACACAUACCUUUAGUCCUAGCACUCAGGCAAGUCACUUUCCCUUUGUUCAAAGCUAGCCUGAGCUACAUAUUGAGGCCCAAGCCUGCCAGGAAUGCAGAACCAGAUUCCCAUGAGUACCUGGAGAGAGCAACAGCCACUCUUCUUCCAGAGGACCCAGGUUCAAUUCCCAGCACCCACAUGGCUGCUGACAAGCAUCUAUAACUCCAGCUCCAGAGGCCCAGUCGUUCUCUUAGACAUGCACACAGGCAAAACACCAGUAUGUAAUAAUAAAUAAAUGUGAAUGAAUAAAUAAAACUUUAAAGAUUUAAUAAAACAUAA
rnacentral:sRNA from 1 species